ACCCUCUGGUACUCAGACUCAGUCGAGUUGCACCCUUGCUCUCAUACAGACGCGCACAAAACUCUCUCUCCGUCUCGCUACCAACCCCCAGCAGAAGUGGUAACAGCGUAAAUAAAGCGACUUAUUAACCAACUGCACCUCAGUGAAACCACCUCAGUUAGUUCGUUAACAACCUCGAGGCAACACAUCCAUCCGCGUGUCGAAUAAUCUAAGAGUUGAAAGAACCAGUUGAUAAUUCUCAAAACUUUUGUGACAGUUGAUCCAGUUUUCGUUGGAACUUUGUGAAAUAUUCGAGUUGAUUAUUAAGUGAUUUUUGUGAAACCAGGAAUAAUAAACAUGAAGGCAACAGUAGAAUCCAGUGGGAACAACAUGCACCUGAACGGUCUUCGUGGCCAGGAUGGGAAAAUUCAUAAGAAACAUCACCACAAGGAGGAGGAAAACGAGGAAAUCAAGGCUUAUUUGACUAAGCUGCAAGAACUUGUUCCUUUCAUGCCAAAAAACAGAAAGUUGUCGAAAUUGGAAGUAAUAACGUACGUGAUUGACUACAUUCGGGACUUAAGACAAACGCUUGGGCUUCCUCCAAGUGCCUCCCGCUUCCCCCUGGAAAUGGACCCCAUGGAAAUGAUGUCCUCCGCCCUGAGUCUGAACGUGAUCAGCACCUCCGACUCGUCCCCCUCGAACAACACCUCCUCCUCCCCCGUCUCCUCCUCCUCCUCCCACCACAGGCAGCCCCUCUGUGUCAUCUCACCCUCCAACAACACCAGUUGCGGAUCUCAAGAGCAUUUCAAUCCUCUAUGAUUGACUUCACUUCGCACUUCUUCUCAUCUCUUCGCUGCAUCGCAUUACCGUACUACUACCACUUCUUCUUCUUCCACUACUACCACUACCACUACUAAUGUCUCCAUACCUAAUCAAACCAAAGAGGAAAAGAUUCCACAAUUGAUGGACAAGUCUCCCACCACUGAUGUUGACACAAGGCCGGUUUCCUGCUAGAUGGGAACAUUUCUCUUUUCUACCCUUUACAUAAUGUCAACUUGAAGAUUUUUUUGCGAAAACAGAGUUUCUCGGCGAAGCAGCUCCAUUUACGUCCACUUGAAUUGUGCAGCACUCGGAGUAACAUCCACAAAAAUUCGGGAGGAAUGAAGCCAUGAGACGGAACUACAUUAACAACAGAAGAAUGAGCCCACGGGUUCUGUGGCUUGAAUUAUUCAAUCCCGGGUUUAAAGGAUCGAUACCCGGUUACAUACGUCGAGAGUUGGCUGUAUUUGUCCCUGUCAGCCCAUUUCCUCCAAAAACAACAAAGCAUCAGUCACCAAAGAAAAUGCAAUGGGCUUCUCAUUCCAAAACCAUACGUUGGAUGAUCACAAUCGCGGAUGGAGUGAUGAUGAUUGCUGUGCGAGUGAAGAUAAUUUACAAGGAUCCGGUGGUGGAGACCCGCAAUUAUAUAAAGUUAAUUGACGCUCAGAUAGAUUUGCACUGUUCUGCAUACUUGUGCUUGAUGCAUAUUUCGAGGAUUUGGUUCAAAGACAGAAUUUAGAUCGGAUUGGCUUUGGAUUAUUCGGCUCAUUUAGAAAAAGCCCUUCUUUCCUGUUAUAUUAAUUAUUGUGUCUAAACGUCUCUGUCUCAAAAGUUUAAAAAAUUUCAGCCCUGGCAAGAUUCGUGUUGUUUUUGGAGCCUUAUCAGCCAAUUUAAAUGAACGAGAAAGGAACUGCUAAAUAUUUACGAGAAACUCGAAGCAAUUUUUCAUUGUCUGUGAUUACAAAGUUUUUUUAAGUUAGAGUUUUAUUAAUUUAACUGCGUAGAUAACCCAUUUUCUAUUGUCUGUAUUAUAUCACAUUGUUAAAACAGUCCAUAAGUAAUAAUAAUAAUGGAAAAGACUACGUAGUUUUAGAAUACAUUUAACAAUAAUAAAAUUAUCCAAGUUGCUUUGAUAAAUGAUUUCCAUGUUUGAGUUCAAGACAAAAUCAAUGUUCUGUAAACGUAAUGAGGAUUCGGAUAGCGUUACAAAAUGUGUAAUUGUAUAAUUCAGCAGCGUUCGUCAUUCCAAAAAAUACGGUUUGUCGAUGGCAUGGCACAAUCCAGUCGAACAAUGUAAAUAAUUUAAUGCGACAAAAUACAUAAGUAGAUUAGAAAUUAUUAUCUUUUUGUAACCAACCUGGCCACGACUGAUUUCCAAAUUUAAACAAAAAUGUAACCUUAUUUAUCUGUCCAGCACUCAAGAACACUCGGAGGUGGAAGAUGUAAUUAUGUAUGUACAACAAACAAAGAUACAAACUUUAGUUUUAAGUAGUUUUCAACAACAACAAAGAUACCAAAUAUUUAGUUUUGUCCCUCUCAAGACAAACGCUGAUAAAAGUAAAAUGAGUUUAAAAAAUAAACUCGAAUGAAAUAAAAGAUGAAAUCAAAAACA